UUGUCGGGUGACGGUCAGCUUUGCGGGGUGGGCAUUCAGCCUCGGGUCACACCGCUGUGCAAACCCAUGCAAAACUGACUGCACACGACACGC
ensembl:miRNA